UGUUAGUAUGGUCAUAUACUUUUAAUAUAACGAACUACACAUUUAAUUACAGAUUUUUAAUUGUACAUUUAGAUGAAUUUGUAUAUACUUCAAGAAAGCAGAAAAAACAGUACUGUAUAAAUAAUAUAGACUAUGCGUAAGUAUUAAUCAUGUUGGUACAAUAAUGCUGAUAUUUGUAAAUAAACACAUUUUUAUAGGCCUUAUCAUGUAAUAUAGACAUAGGCCUGUCAUAGACGUCCAAAUGACGUCCAAAGAAUCACCCAGUUCAAACAUCAAAUGUUGCCCGUAAAUAUGACGUCCAGAUGACGUCCAAAAAAUUACCCAGUUCAAACGUCAAAUGUUGCCGUAAAUAUGAAGUCCAAAGACGUCCAAAAAAUUACCCAGUUCAAACGUCAAAUGUUGCCCGUAAAUAUGACGUCCAAGUAGGGUCAUGGUUGGACGUCCAAAUAGUGGACCUAGAUUGGACGUCGAAUAGAUGUCCAGAAUUGGUCAUGGACUGACGGACCAAAUAUAGACAUGAUCUGCACGUCUAUCCGACGUCCUGUGUUUAGUGGGUUAAGCAAACUUCACUCAAUGUUGAAACACACUUUCGACCUUAGACAUUUAAACCUAUCCCCCACCGUAUGCAGAUGAGUUGCAGCCCCUGGGUCCACAAAACCCAAUCAUUACCAAGUUCCCUAUUAUUAUUACAAUGCUUUGUUCUCUAUGGAUAUAUAAGGUUCAAGGAGAUUGUCUAUAGUUAGAAAUGAACUUUGGGCACAGCAUCAUGUAUUUGAUCUCUUACACUAUAAAAGUCCUUUGCCAGGUAUGCAAUGUUUUCAUAUGAUUACAACUGUUUAUUGAUUUGUACAACUGUGAAUUGGCUUUUGAAUUAUGAUUUUCUUACCUGGCUAAUAAUUGUUACAUUUGAAUUUAUUCUUUGUUGCUCUGAAAAUUAUUGACACUACUAGUAAUUACAAAAUAUCCUUUGUUACCAUAAUGUCUGAAAUCAGGCUAGGAUCGGCCGAAAUCCCAUUAGGUGGCGCAUAGUGGCAGCUAAGGAUUUCAGUGAUACUAGACUAGCACUUGGCAUUAGUUUAAGUGCACUUAGAAGCAUGGAGGCAAACAGUGUGUAUUUCUGUUUAGAGCAGUGGCCCCCGCUGACUUCUUUUCUGAGGGAUGCAUCAUGUCAAAAUGUGUGUUCACUGCGUCAUGUCAACCAUGUGCAUCAUGCAUCUUGUCAAAAUACGUUUUCAUGCGUCAAAAAGGUUUGUGAUAAAAGAAAUUCACAUAUUCAUGAAAUAUUUGCAAGACACUAACUUAACACUAAACUCUGAAUACACAUAAGCGAGUAUCUGGCAAACAUAAAUAGUAAAAUAUGGCAUGAUUAUGCAAAGCUACCGUUGAAGAAGUUGUUCAGUUUAUUCUUGUGAUAGUGGUCAUGACCUCUGGUUAGAAAUAAUUAUUGUAAUAAUUAAGUGUCACCUCUAAGGGGACUAAAUAAAGUACGUUUAGAGAUGAGCAUGCAUAAAGUGGCCAUCUAAGCGUAUAAUUCAACCUCUGGCAGCGACCAAGACUGGUGCAGUUGCGAUUGUGGACCUGCAUAUUAAUUAUUAAAAGGCCGGUGCGAGGAUCCUGUGUGACACUGUUUAACCGAAUGAACGAGUACAAUACCAAAUAGAUUUAAAUCAGAUUUACCAGACAUCCAUCCAAAUUCUGUGAUUGUUAAAAGGUAAUAAUCAAUCCGAAUCGUAUUAUAAACAGUGAGAUUUUAUCUUUUGGCGUCAGAUAAAAUUACCAAAAUUACAUAACGUUAAAAUGUAAUCAGUAACCACCAGAAAAAACUGAAUGCACAAAGACCUUUCGCCAAGCCGAUUGGUUUUCCGACACUGGGCCUUCGGGUGGGUGUCAGUACCCGAUCUGUGCCGCCUGCCCAAUCUGUUUUGCGCAUGCGCAUAAUUGUGCGCAUGCGCAGAAGCUCAACUUGUUUUACGAUAGUUUACGACCCUACCUGAUCUGUUCUACGCAUGCGCGACAACUGGAGUUUAAAAAUAGUGAAGAAAUGCGUCAUAUAAGAACACCGGCGAACAACAUAUGGAGGCUAAGGUAAGUGACGGAAAUGUUCGUUCAAAAGUUUUUAAUGCAAAUAUACAGGUGUCUUUAUGCAUAAACAACAAGGUCACUAAGACAUAAUAUACAGUAGUUAGUAGUUAGCUAGCCUAGCUGGCUGGUUAGGCUUACAAUGAAAUGCAGUGUGUCCGGUUACCUGAAAACUUAGAGUGUUUAAACUUACAUUUAUUUGAUGGUGUAUUGGCCCUGACUAGAUUCAUGUGACAUGUAAACCACAUUCCUUGUUGAUACCAGAGGUGGACACUACUUAAGUAUUUUACUUUCUACAUAAAAGUAUUCCUUUUUUAAUCAGUGUUUUACUUUGGAAAACAUACAUUCCAAAGCAUAUUAUCAUCAUUUUUACUCCACUACAUUUCAUAAUUUCAAGUUUUUGGUUUCCCUACUGAAAAUCCAGCUAAAACCAGCAUAAGCUGGUAGCUGUUUUUUGCUGGUUUAAGCUGGUCAGGCUGGAAGACAGCUGAACCACCAGCUUUGCCAGGCUGGGAGGACCAGCUUAAACCAGCUACUGCCACCUUAAAGCUUAUGCUGGUUUUAGCUGGAUUUUCCAGUAGGGGUGUAUUUUAAUAUCUAUCUUUUUAUGUUUAUCUAAUUUAUGUUUAUUGUUUCGUCAUGUCGUCUUUGUUUUAAUCCCUUUUAUUGUCUGUGCAUGUCACAUUAAAAAUUUGCAAUAUAAAUAAAGUUGAUUUAAUUUUUUUUAGUCUUUCAUCAUUGUAUUUAUGUGUUAACGUAGCAGCAUAUGGUGAGUCAAGAUAUCUUUUUUUUAGUCAUUCGUAUAAAGGACCAACAUGGACCAGUAUUUAUUUCAUGCCGCCCUUCGGCAGUACCUAGUGGGAUGUCGAUGUUGCGGUUGACUGGAAGAGAGUCAUAUAGUGGCCAACCACUUCGUUGUAGAUGAUUUGUCCAUGCUGAUGGCCAUGCAGCAUAGUUGAAGCAGACCUGUCAGAAAACAUCUUUAAGGUGCUAUGAAUCCUAUGACUAGAUACGCAUCCUAAAAUUACUAGAGGUUACGGAAGCUCCUUUUUGGAUCCAGCUUCAUUUGUGAAGACUUCAGAUGAUGCCAACACUCACAGAGACUUAAGACGAUGGCAACAAUAGAUGACGCAACACCCACAAAGACUUUAGAUGAUGGCAAAUAUAGAUGGACAUACAAAAUUGCCAAAUAUAAUAUUGUAAUUACUGCCCCAAAGCGCAAGUUUGCAGAUUUUUAACCCACUUUAUAUUGUUACAAAUACAAUAGAUGGUAACAUUUGAACAGAAAAUGUCUCCUCUUUAUUCUUGAGUUAAUUGUGCUGAUUUAUUCCCAUUUUUUUAUCCACAAUACUUUGCCAAAAUGAUGUUUUGCAUCAUCCAAAUGGUUCAUUUUCAAAUUACAGACAUUGUAACAACACAAAGUGGGUUGAAAUUCUGCCAACUUACCCUAUAAUAAUAAUUGUCCUUUAACUGAACAUGACUUUAAACACAUGACUAUUAGGGCCAAUCCCAUUUCUCUGUCUUACCCCUUCCCCUUACCCCUACCCCUUAGUUUUGCACGUUCACGUGAGAGUAAGGGCUAUCCCAAUUCUCGUUUUGAUCAAGGGGUAGGGCUAAGGGCAAGUGGUAGAUACCCCUUAAAACCAAGAAUUUCCGCGAGCUUACUUGAAACUAAGGGGUACCCAGAAUACACUGCGCAACCGGCAAAA